CAAUAGCGUAUAUUAAAGUUGUUGCGGUUAAAAAGCUCGUAGUUGGAUUUCUGUUGGGAACGACCGGUCCGCCCAUUGGGUGUGUAUCUGGCUUGUUCUCGGCAUCUUCUUGGUGAACGUUGCUGCACUUGACUGUGUGGAGCGCUACCCAGGACUUUUACUUUGAGGAAAUUAGAGUGUUUCAAGCAGGCAUAUGCCUUGAAUACAUUAGCAUGGAAUAAUAAGAUAGGACCUCGGUUCUAUUUUGUUGGUUUCUAGAGCUGAGGUAAUGAUUAAUAGGGAUAGUUGGGGGCAUUCGUAUUUAACUGUCAGAGGUGAAAUUCUUGGAUUUACGGAAGACGAACAACUGCGAAAGCAUCUGCCAAGGAUGUUUNCAUUGA
rnacentral:rRNA from 1 species